GCUAAUUUGUUUAUUGUAGAAAGUGAGUACACAUUUUGUGCUACUUUCUUGUAUAUUCCGGAUUUCUCCUACUGUUGUAAUUUUUUAGGCAAAGGUGCAGGGCACAUUAAUUUUGUCGAAAAAAUUAAUUCAGAAAUCGAAUCCGUUUGUAAAUCCCAACCUUUCCACAUCGGGGCUGAAUGCAAUAAAGAUUAGUGGCGUUACAACUACUGCGACACCUCCAGCGCCCGUCAAGGGAAGAUUUUUGAAGGUUCGAUCAUUUACUUCACUGCAGUCAGUGCCAUCGGAAUGUAUUACGAUUCCUGACGAUCCACCUCCAUAUAAAAUUACAGAAGUGGACCCGCUGAGCUUCACGACUGAAGAAGAUCCGUUGGCUCUAUCUUCCGAAAUUGUCGCAAGACGUAAUAACUUUUGCCGUAGAUUAGGAUAGAUUUUCGUUCAGAUGGCUUGAUGGCUAUACGCUCAAAAAAUGCUAGUUGAAUCUUGAGAUAACUUCAGAUUUCGGUAAGCGUGAACUACUGGAACACGCUUGCCUUGUAGCCGGCCGAUGCCGGCGUCUCUUUCUACCUUUUCGACUGUUAAUUUACGACUUUCGGUUUCAUAUUUCAUCCAGAGUAGUAUUUAGUAAAUUCAUCGAGUGCUGGAGCCCUGCGACUUAUUUGUGUGCUUAUUUGCAUUUGAUCUUUGAUUCGUUUCCGCGUGCACAUAAUUAGGGCUGUGACGUGACAUCGGGGGUGACCCGUAAGUGAUGGGGCACUAAGAUAAUAUUUGUCUCAAACAAA